UCCCAGUCGUUAAGCUCGUCCUCGUGGGUAUCAUACAGCACCUUGGCGGUGCCUUGUAGGUAGUAAACCAAGUUAGCUAGCAUAAUAGUCGGAUCUCAUUUGUUGCGGGCACUUACCCGCUCAUACGCAGCCUGAUGUUACAUAGAAAUAGAGAGCAUGGCAUGCAGAAUGGCCCAUUUUUAGGGCAGAACCUGCAAGUUCAGGAGUUUCCUCAAUUUAUCUGUGUCCGUUUGCAUGACAGUGCUGUAAUGAGUCGGGUCCCAAAUGGCUGAGUAAAAUUCAAGCUUUGAACGAACAGAUGUAUUACCAUGAGUUAUUUUGUGUUCACAUAGAAGAGAUCUAAAUUUUACCGUAGACAUCCAACAGAUUAAUUGGCGUUGCCUAUGAUGUGCUGAAUAUGUACAUGGUCAUGAAAGGUUAGUAGUAAAAUGAAGGCCAGGACACUUUCAGAAAACAAAAGUUUUCAGAGCUGUACCAAUAAGAGAAUAUUGCGGCAUGUUCUAAGUGCUGGGACGACGAGAUAUGCACAUUCUCUUCUGCUUGUUAGUAUUUAAUUACAUGCACAAGUCACUGCCCCAGAAUAAGUUUUAAAUGAAAUCGAGAAAGAUGCAACGAGUAUAGAAACCAAAGUCAGCAUUAAUGAAAUAGUCGUUAUCGAACGAUAUGAAUUGUGUUCAACAUCCAGAGCAAAAAUUCCUUGAGCUGGAAAUCUCAAGAAAUACACCUUGAGCUGGAUUUACAGCUCAAGCAGUAUAAUUAUAUUAUCUCUUAGAUGUAUUUUAAGAGUUCCAUAGCACCUAAAUAUGACCACCCCGUGUCAGAUUUUCAGUGUCGUGAUACGAUGGUCUUCAUUUUUUUAUUCAGGCCAGUACGAAGUAAUAGGAAACUAAAGUCAGUGAAAGCGUAGCAAUUAUUCGGGACGUUUAAUUAGAAUGUAGAAAAGAAAACUUAAAGGUAAGUGAAAGUGGACUGAAAAACAAGUUGCCGCAAACGGGUGCACAGUCCAUAUCCUCCGCAUUACGUUUAAUUUCAUUUACGAAUCGAACUACCACGGCUGCUGUCCUUUGCGAUCUCUCUUGGGUAUUCGUGGCAUGCAUACAGGAUUAGCCCAGGGAGUGUUCUCAAGCGCUACUCACGGUCAUGACAGUGUACGUGCAACGCCCUCGUAGCCACAGUCGUCAAGUAGUACUGGAGCAUAGGAACAAUGAGUCUGCCUAUAAACCCUGGUGCGCUACUUCAUGACAUAAAGACUGCCAAAUUCCGGGUAUUCGCUACACAAUGAAUCAAAAGAAUUUUUUUUUCGGAAGAGGCCCGAUUUCAAUGCCAAGCACUCUUUGGCCCAUCGAAGGCAUUUCGCAAUAGCUAUUCAAUGUGAUCAGGACCAGUGUUGGUUCUUCAAGUCUUUGUUGAUAUUACAGGUAUACGUUUGGUCUCAUAUCCAACUGCCAAAAUUUUCCAACGAAAAUACCAGUGGACCGUGUUAUUUUUUAAAUGCAAAACAUGAUGUGAAAUAUGCAGCGGUCUAUAAAAAUUACAUUUUAGAAGUGUGAAAUAUUUCAUUGUUUUUAGUAUAUUUCACAUGAAGGACAAAAGGUAGUGUGAACAUUACAUGUAUUUGGUCCCUUAAUUUACCUGCAAUUUCGCGUACAAAAGACAGCGCAUUGUCUAUGAUCGAACUGCCUAAUUUCUUCUAAUUCGCACCUGUUUCUAAAGAAACGUCAUAUGUUGCUAAUUGCUUCAUUUAUUGGGUAGGAUAAGACUUGUAUCUAAAGGAAACAGAAUUCCUACGUUUUGCGCUUUUUUGCAAAGGAACUACAUCAUAUAAAAAAUGUUCAAUAUUUCAUUUUUAUUCAAUUAGGUUGAAAAUUACAAUAAAGGCGGAGGCUGAAGAGAUACCAUUGCGCAUGAUGCGCGCUUCUGAGCGUGGCAGGAAUGCACCAUCGCAGCGGAGAGGGCACUGUGUCGUCAGCGCAAGUUGUGGCCGCAGUGGCGGCACCUAUCCUAUUAUGACCUCCGUGUUUGGAAUUCCAUGGUUCGGCGAGGCCCUCACGAAAAAUGCGCUACACGAUUCAGGAAGCUGGCGCCAAACGGACACGUCAUUUAUGAGCAGAGGUGCCAGGGCAUUCUGCACAAUAACGGCUCUUCUAUUUCAGAAAGAAAAAGCACGAAUAACUGAAAGAACAGGGCCAUUUCAAUAACUUUAUUGAUGUAGUGGCAUCAAAAUAUAGAACAAAUAAACGAAGACCAUGGCAGCACUGUUUUA